rnacentral:rRNA from 1 species
AAUGAACGUUGGCGGCGUGGAUUAGGCAUGCAAGUCGAGCGCUCACCCGCAAGGGUGGGAGCGGCGAAAGGGAGAGUAACGCGUGGGUAUCUACACUCGGGACUGGGAUAGCUGCGCGAAACUGCAGGUAAUACCAGAUGACGUCCCGGGACCAAAGGUGUUAUUCCGCCUGAGGAUGACCCCGCGUCCUAUUAGCUUGUUGGUGGGGUAAUGGCCUGCCAAGGCAAUGAUGGGUACUGGGUGUGAGAGCACGACCCAGCUCACUGGGACUGAGACACUGCCCAGGCAACUACGGGUGGCUGCAGUCGAGAAUCUUCGGCAAUGGGCGAAAGCCUGACCGAGCGACGCCGCGUGUGGGAUGAAGGCCUUCGGGUUGUAAACCGCUGUCAGAGGGGAGGAAUGGGCGGAGGGUAAUCUCUUCGUUUUGACCUAUCCUCAGAGGAAGUACGGGCUAAGUUCGUGCCAGCCGCCGCAGUAAGAC